CUCGCCUGCAGCGGCCCAUACCGAAAAAAGAGAAAUUUUUUUUAGGGCUGCACACAGCAGCCCAUUCCCUUCUCACCCCGUGGGCCUGCAGCCUACACCCGGGGGUCCUCGGUGUGACAACCCGUCCCUAAUUUUAAGAAUUUUUAAAGUUUGAAGUUUGGACAUUUUAUGAUUUUUAUUAUUAAAAUUUGGAUGGCCCAGAUUUAAGGAUUUUGAAAUGGAUGGCUUAGAUGUAAGAGAAAGAAAAUAAAAAUAAAAUUAGGAAAGAAGGUUUUAUGUGUGUGUGUACGUGAAGAAGAAGAAGAAGAAGAAGAAGAAGAUUUAGGACUGGGCAAAAACUGCCCAACCAGAAGAAGAGAGAGCCAGAGCUCCGGGAGAGAAAGGAGGGAGUCCAGCGAAUCAAGGGAAGAGAGAGGAAGGGCUGGCCAACCAGGAACCAGGAAAGGAGGAAAGGAGAGAAGGCGAGAAGCGGAGGAAGAAGAACAGAAAUGGGUCACAACCCGCGACCCGGUGGGUUUUCCACCCAUUUUCGUCGAAAUUUCUUCAUUUUUCCAGCGAAUUGGAUCAAGGUACCACUCCCAAUCAACAUCUAGGCCUUCCCUUUUUACGUUUUACCCCAAGAAUCAUUGAAUUUUGUUGUGAUUUCGCGAAGAACACCCAUACGGGUGCCGCGACCCUUUUGUUCAAAUUCUCCAAAUUUUGAAAUGUUUUCUUUCAAUUACUAACACCUUUAGCAUUCCUUUAGGACCUAGAACAAAGCCCAAGAGGUAAUUGAGGCGUUGGAACAAGUUUGAAGGUCGAAUUGGAAACACCCAAAUUCUAGGGUUCUUCACGGUUUUGGUGAAAUUGAAGCACUUCCAGGCCAAAUUGGCCUUGGUCUCAGGUAUGAAAGUUGUUCUACUCAUUGAGAUCUUCAAAUCUGCAAAUUUUGGUAAUUUUUGGAAAUAGUUGAAUUUUCCGGCGAGCCGGGGGCGGCCAACCGCCACCCGCGGCGGCCCGCGCGGCGGCGCGUGGCCAAUGGCCGCCAAUGUCAUUAUUAGCUUGUGAUUAAGGUUCUAGGUUCUGUUUGAUAAUUGAUGGACGUAAAUUGAAUAAUUGAACCUAAGUUGGUUACGAUUCGUGAUUAGGUGAAAAUGUGAAUUGACGAUCCGACCGUUGGAUCGUCAUCAAACUUUGAUACGUUGUAAUACAUAAUAUUUGAGGACUAUAGGAACUUACGGAUUGGGAAUCCAAUUUACGGAUCUUCCGGAAUUGAAGUUGUAAGUUCAAAAAAUAGAAUGUUAACCGUCACUUAGUUUUGGAAAUUGACGGAGAUCCGACCGUUGGAUGGUAAUGAAAUUUUAGGAUGUUGUCCUAGAGGUAUAUUGUGGACCUCUGGAAGUUACGGAUUUGAAAUCUGAAUUGCAGAUCAUCCGGAUCGAACUACGUAGUGACGUGUCUUAUAUAAGUUAUGUAUUCUAUCGGCAGAAUUUCUAAGGUUGGAUUUGAUUGUUGUUCUAGGCGCUAAUCGUCAUAACGCCUUGAUGUACGGUGCUAGGGAGUUGUGGGCGAACUCCAGGUGAGUGGGCAGUUUUGUUUUCCGUAUAUAUAUGUACUUGACGUUUUCCCAGAAAUUGAAAUUUAAUGAAAAAUGUGAUUUGAAAUGCCAUGCAUAGAAAUGAUAUGAAAAGUAUAUAGAAAUGUGAAUUGAAUUGCCAUGCAUGAAAUGAUAUGAAAAAUAUGAAUUGAGAUAUGAUGCAUAUGUAUGAAUUGGUACUGUGGACGCACAGAUGAGUAUCAGGUGAGUAUUAUUACUACUAUGAUGAUGUUGAGAUAUAUUGAGCUCAUAACCUGCACCUUGGUAUUAGUGCUUAUUACUAUUCACCGCAUCGCACGCUCGCCUUGGAUCCAAGUAGAUGCUAGUCGUACAGACCACUAGAGGUGGUUCCGACAUGCCAGUCGUACAGACCAUUAGAGGGGUUCCGACUGGUAGGUGAUCUUAGAUUAUGUGCACAGAUGAUUGAUGAGAGAAGCACUAGAGCGUAAUAGUAACCAUUAAGUCGUACAGACUACAUUAGGUGGUUCCGACUUAUGUGCAGUGUAGGCCGUACAGGUCACAGUAGGUGACUCCGGCAAGGGCCGUACAGGUCACAGUUGGUGACUCCGGCUAGAUGAUAUUUUGAGCUCUAGAUUCAACCGUACAUGACCAUUGUAGGGUCUUCGGUUGAUUACUUCUUGCACCUGAUAUAAUUAUUGUUGAUGCAUUCAUACUUAACUGUUGAAUUCCGACAUGGCAUGGCAUAUUUGUACUGAAAAAAUGUUGAGCUAAUGAAUUGAAGUAUUGAGAAUAUAUAUGUAUAUUUAUAUUUUACAUUUAUGGGAAAGUAUACAGGUUUUACGGAGAGGGGUUACAACGUUUUGAGAAAUGUUGAAUUUGGAAAAGAAUUGUUUUACUGACCCACUCAAUUUUGGUUUUGCGCCCCUCCAGGUUCAGGAAUCACAAAGGUGUGGUGACUACGAGGAAUUCGACGGUGUUCUGACAGAUUGGACAAAAUUAGGACUCACCUUCGGGUGUAUCAACUUAUAAAUUGUAUCUUAAAGCUUCCGUACUGUGCAAAUGGUUACGUCACUCUCACGUGACGGCCAGCAUGCCCUCAUUCGGGAAGGGGUGUGUCAGUUGGUAUCAGAGCAGGGUUGCAAUCUUGGACAUUUUGAGAAGUUCUAGUGAAUUCUGUCAGAACUACACCGCCUCGUAGCAAGCCACUUAGUUAGAGGAAUUUAGUCUCCCUAAUAUAGCGGUUUAGGGGAAACUAUUAUUAUGGUGAUUCAGUCUAUUAUAAAAAAGGACAUUUUAAGACGGGAUAUGAGUCGAAUUUGAAUCACCUUAUGAAAUGUUAAAUUUAGGGAGCGAAGUAACGGUUUAACCAUUUGGAAAAGAUGUUUCAGAUUAUGCAAGUCAAAGGAAAUUUCCUUCUGACAAGGGGUCGAGACGACUACCUGGUUUUGGUUAUGAAUUUGUAUCCUGGUGGAAACAGGAGUAUGAUUUGUUGUCACCGGAGGAACAGUCGAUUGAGAAUUGUUUAAGGACUUGUUUAAGGAAAAGUUUAUCCCUCCGGCAUUUAUCGAUGGUAGUAAGCAAUAGUUUGCAAAUGUGAAUCAAGGAAGUUGACGAUAAAUGAAUAUUAUAGAAAGUUUUCAGACUAGCCUCGUUUCCAUUCAGAUAUUACUGCCAUUUUGGUGGAGGUGUUAUGUUGUUUUAAGCUGGGUGGCAAAAAGGGAAGUGGUAUUUUGGGUGACCACUAUCCAUUGUAUUUCUUACCAAGAGUAUACAAGAUGUUGUUGAGCCUUGAGGACUCUAAGAAUAUGAUCAGCUAGAGUGAAAAGGAAUAAGAAAAGAAUGGGAAUUAAAAGAAGACGAUAAAGUUAAUGAUUCGUCAUAUCAAGAAUAUCGAAAGACUUAGAGCUUCAAAAGAAGUGAAGUUAGAGCUAAUUUUUCCAGCUGAGGUUUUAAUGCCACUGGUCAGAGUCAAAGUGAUAGAAUUGCUGGUAAUCCCAGAUUUCAGAGACAAGGUGAUUUGAAUAAAGGAAAGGUACCUUUGUGCAGCAGGUACAAAAUUAACACUUUGGGAAGUGUGAAAUUAAUGAAUGUGUUUAUGUGAACAGAGGAGACACAAAAUUGUGAAUUGUCCCUAAAAAUUAGUUAUUACCCAGCAGUCUUCCCUGAUACCACCAGUAUCAGUCCAGCAGGUGUUUGGAUCAUUAGUUUGGGUCAUAUGGACUGUGGGUACAAGGAUGUUGGAUGAGUUAAAUGUUCAGCCGUACAGGCCAUCAGAGGUGGAUCCGGCUGACACAUGAGAAAUUGGUGAGUUAUAGGCUCGGCUGUACAGACCACAAGAUGUGGAUCCGGCCGACGUAUUUACUGGGGAAUUGACGUGUAAGUCGCACAGGUCACUAUAAGUGACUCCGACUAAUGUGCUAGCAUAGAUGGUUGAGCUAGAGAAUCAGCCGUACAGGUCAUUCUAGUUGACUCCGGCUGAUAUAUUUCUGAGUAUGGACGAUGAUGCCAAAGAAAGUAAUGUUGGAACGUGAUAGAGGCGUAUAUGUGUAUUCUAAUGAAGAACAAAAUGAUAGUAUUACACCUUUGGGAAUUGUUGCCUACUUAUCGAGACAACGAUGAUUUAUCAGUAUUGCGGGCUGCAGACCGUAAUAUUAAUAACUCAUUCGUGGAUUCGUUAAGCAAGCAAACCAGUAGGUUAUUUUAUGUUAGUGUUGUACUUAUUUAGAAUGUUCAGUAUUAAUAAAGUAUGUAUUGUGUCGGUUAAAUUAUUUCUAUUAGAUUGGUUGGUUAUAAUUGUGACUAAAUGGAUUGUUACGGGAAACCAGUCACUUUCCAUCGAUCUGGAUGACCAUAGAUUACUUUUGUAAGUAUGCAAAGUGGAUUGAGUCAGGCCGUUAUUUAUGCUGUGAGAGCAAAGAGAUUGUUUUCGAAAGGCUGUCAAAAAAAAAAUUCUUAGCUCAUGUGGUGCUAAAUGAUGUUGUUUGGAGUAGUGUGAAUAAUGUCAAAAGGGUUAGACUUUUCUUGAUGUCUUCCUUGAAAGUAUACCUGGAUUGCCUUCAGGCAGAGAUAUUAGGUUCACUAUUGAAUUGUUGCCAGGUAUAAAUUUAUGAUAAAGAUUGGUUCAGGAUGAGUUAAGGGAAUAUUCAGUUGAGAGAAUUGGUUGAUAAAAGUUUUAUUUAACCUAGUACAACAUUUUUUAGGAGCACCAGUUCGUUGAUGAGAAAGAAAAUGGACUUUAAAGACUAUGCAUUGAUUAUAGAUAAUGGAAUCGGGUAACGAUUGAGAACCGUUAUCCAUUGUGGUGUACUGAUGUUUAUUUGAUCAGCUCAGAGGUGCAUGUGUACUUUCAAAGAUUGAGAGAACGUUGGUUGUAUGCUAAGUUUAGCAAAGGCUAAAGUUAGAUGAAUCAGGUGGCAUUCUGAAAUUAAUUAUAUCUACUUAAGAUAUUCAAGUGGAUUCUUAAAAGAGUAGCAACGAUUGAGAACUUGGAACAAUUGCGAACUGUGACUGAGAUUCAGAGUUUUCUUGGCUUAGCAGGUUAUUACUGAUAGUUCGUCCAAGAUUUUUCAAUCAUUGCUUUGCCCUUGGCGAGAUUGAUGAGAAAAGAGAUUACGUUUGAGUGGGAUGAAAAAUUGUGAGUAGAGCUUCAGCAAGUAAAGUAUUCCCUCACUCAUGCAUCUGUUUUCGCAUUUCCAGACGAUAAUGGUAAUUAUAAGGUUUAUAGUGAGGCUACGUUGGAUGUUCUUGAAUGCGCGUUGAUGCAGCAUGUUAGGGUGAUUACCUAUGUUUUACGGCAAUUAAAACUUCAUGAGAUGAAUUACCCUAAUUAUGAUUUGGAAUUAGUAGCUAUCAUCUUUGCUUUGAAGAUUUGGAAACUUUGUCUUUAUCGGAAGAAAAGUGCACGAUUGUUACGAAUCGAAGAGUACCCAAUAUCUGUUUAUUCAGAGGUAUCUUAAUCUCAGACAACAAAGGUGGAUUGAGUUACUUAGUGAUUAUGAUUGUACGACUAGGGUGGUCGAACUAAUGUUAUGGCCAAUGCUUAUAGUAGGAAGACCCAGUGAGAAUUAAUGCUUGGUACGAUUGCCAUGUUCAUCUUCUUGUAGAUUGAGACCUACUGGAGUAAAGUUGGGAAUGGAAGAUCGAAAAGAAAACGUACUUGCUAAUUUUCAAGUUAGGUCUAUUUGGUAGGUCGUACUCGAGACUCAAACGUUUGAUGAAGAAAUUCAAGAAAUUUAUUUAAAGCAAGGAAUAACGGAAAGAAAGAAGUCUUUUGGAUUGAUGUAGUCACUUCCCGUUCCACGGUGGAAAUGAGAAAAUAUUAAUAUAGAUUAUGUGUGCAAGCUCCCUCGUUCACGAGAUGGUUAUGAUGAAAUUUGAAGUGAUAAUUGAUUGGUUUACUAAAUCAGCACAAUGUUCUUCGAUGAAAGAGCAGUAACCUUUCCAGAAGUGCAACAGUUAUUUAUCUGUCUUAUGGAAAAGAGAUUUAGACUUACAGAUUUGUUGAACUUCUUGGAUAUGUUGGUCCUUUCAGUUUGUCCCCGAGAGCAACGCCAUAAGGUCGUGGAAAGUUGUGUCUUGUGUUUCAAAUUGUUAGAAUUGUGGACGGAUGGUAUUUAAAACCCUGAGUUAAUGGAGGAGACUACUCAGAAUAUUCAAGUAAUUAAGUCUAACCUGAAAGUGGGCCAGGAUCGGCUGAAGAGUUAGCAAACAAACAUGCCACUGACCGGAUGUGUAAUGUAAGAGAUUGGAUGUUUUUGAAAUUAUCACCUUAGAAAGGUGUGGUUCAGGUCGAAAUAGAAGACAAGUUACAUCUUAAGUACAUCAGGUCGUCUUUGACUAUUGAAGGAAUCGGUGAAAUACUUUCAAGUUGAGUACCUUCGGGAUUGGAUAAGAUGUAUAGUGUAGUUCAUGUUUUGAUGAUCCGUUACAAAGUAGCAGCUUCGUCGUGUAUGAUUCCGAUUCAGCCCUUAGAGAUUAAUCUGGAUUUGAAGUGUGAUGAGGAGCCAGUGACUAUCUUGUAUUGAAAAGACAUUGUGCUGAGAAAUAAGACUAUGAGUUUGGUGAAAGUUUAUGGAGGAAUCUUUCAGUGGAAUAAACUACUUGGAAGUCAGAGAAUCGAAUGAGAGAGAUGUGUUUCGGGUUGUUUUAUGGAUAUUGAUGGAUUGUAAAGAUUGUGUAAAUUUCGAGGACGAAAUUUCUUUAAGGUGGGUAGAUUGUGACAACCCGUCCCUAAUUUUAAAGAAUUUUUAAAGUUUGAAGUUUGGACAUUUUUAUGAUUUUUAUUAUUAAAAUUUGGAUGGCCCAGAUUUAAGGAUUUUGAAAUGGAUGGCUUAGAUGUAAGAGAAAGAAAAUAAAAAUAAAAUUAGGAAAGAAGGUUUUAUGUGUGUGUGUACGUGAAGAAGAAGAAGAAGAAGAAGAAGAAGAUUUAGGACUGGGCAAAAACUGCCCAACCAGAAGAAGAGAGAGCCAGAGCUCCGGGAGAGAAAGGAGGGAGUCCAGCGAAUCAGGAGAAGAGAGAGGAAGGGCUGGCCAACCAGGAACCAGGAAAGGAGGAAAGGAGAGAAGGCGAGAAGCGGAGGAAGAAGAACAGAAAUGGGUCACAACCCGCGACCCGGUGGGUUUUCCACCCAUUUUCGUCGAAAUUUCUUCAUUUUUUCCAGCGAAUUGGAUCAAGGUACCACUCCCAAUCAACAUCUAGGCCUUCCCUUUUUACGUUUUACCCCAAGAAUCAUUGAAUUUUGUUGUGAUUUCGCGAAGAACACCCAUACGGGUGCCGCGACCCUUUUGUUCAAAUUCUCCAAAUUUUGAAAUGUUUUCUUUCAAUUACUAACACCUUUAGCAUUCCUUUAGGACCUAGAACAAAGCCCAAGAGGUAAUUGAGGCGUUGGAACAAGUUUGAAGGUCGAAUUGGAAACACCCAAAUUCUAGGGUUCUUCACGGUUUUGGUGAAAUUGAAGCACUUCCAGGCCAAAUUGGCCUUGGUCUCAGGUAUGAAAGUUGUUCUACUCAUUGAGAUCUUCAAAUCUGCAAAUUUUGGUAAUUUUUGGAAAUAGUUGAAUUUUCCGGCGAGCCGGGGGCGGCCAACCGCCACCCGCGGCGGCCCGCGCGGCGGCGCGUGGCCAAUGGCCGCCAAUGUCAUUAUUAGCUUGUGAUUAAGGUUCUAGGUUCUGUUUUGAUAAUUGAUGGACGUAAAUUGAAUAAUUGAACCUAAGUUGGUUACGAUUCGUGAUUAGGUGAAAAUGUGAAUUGACGAUCCGACCGUUGGAUCGUCAUCAAACUUUGAUACGUUGUAAUACAUAAUAUUUGAG
rnacentral:lncRNA from 1 species